rnacentral:rRNA from 1 species
AUUCCAGCUCCAAUAGCGUAUAUUAAAGUUGUUGCAGUUAAAAAGCUCGUAGUUGGAUUUCUGUUUUGAAUGUCCGGUCGGUCAGUUUCUGAUGUGUACUUUGGAUAUUCGAGGCAUUUUUUGUGAGGGUCCUUGACUGGCAUUAAGUUGUUGGUUUUGGAAGCUUGCAUCGUUUACUGUGAAAAAAUUAGAGUGUUUCAAGCAGGCGUUUGCUUUUGAAUACAUUAGCAUGGAAUAAUAAGAUACGACUAGCGUGGUCUAUUUUGUUGGUUUGCACACGCAAGUAAUGAUUAAUAGGGACAGUUGGGGGUAUUCAUAUUUGAGCGUCAGAGGUGAAAUUCUUGGAUCGCUGAAAGACGAACUAAGGCGAAAGCAUUUGCCAAGAAUGUUUUCAUCG